GUCCCGCUCGUCAGGCCUUCCCCUGACCUCCGGCUCCGCUGUAGCCCCCGCCGCCACACCGGAUCAGCGCCGCCGUAACCACCACCGUCACCGCGCAAUGAGAUGCCGCGGCUUCCUACGCGUCGCGUCGCCCAGACCUGCCGCGGUCCUACUCCGGCCAGCGUCGCGCCGGCCCACCUUCCAGCGCGUGCUCUAGUGCCUCCGCCCUCGCCGCACCGGCGCUCGCUCGAGUCGAGCUCCUGCCAACUUGCCUGACCCGUGGCCACCUCCCCCAGCGAGUUUGUCCAUGACCGCCUCCCUUCCCCAACUCUCAUCCACUCGGAUGCCCCUGAGGCAAGGUCGGGAUCGAGCCCCCCCGCCGCGCCGCCGAUUUGCCUGACCAUUUCCAGCGCCGGAGAUUCACAUCGUCGCCGUCUCCCUCACCGCCGGCAAAAACUGUCAGCUGUCGCGCGCGUCUCAUGUGCUCGGCUUUUCGCAUCGGAGAUCAAGAUCGUCACUAUUUCUUCAGUUACUACCGUUGGUGCGUCCGCGUCCUCAGCUCGACCCUGCUGAUCUCGUUAUUCGUGUAUUUUCUUUCAUCUACCUUAUGUAAGACAUUUUAGAUCAGAGGUAGUAAUAUUCUUUAUUUCUGCAUGAACUUAUUGAUGUAUGGAUCCAUUAACACAAUAGUUUUUUUUGGUGUGCAUUGACUGUAACCUCUUCGGAACAUUCCUAUAUUUUUUAUUUGAGCAAUCAAAUCUCUUUUCAUACUA